AUUGAACGCUGGCGGCAUGCUUUACACAUGCAAGUCGAACGGUAACAGGCCGCAAGGUGCUGACGAGUGGCGAACGGGUGAGUAAUGCAUCGGAACGUGCCCAGUCGUGGGGGAUAACUACUCGAAAGAGUAGCUAAUACCGCAUACGAUCUAUGGAUGAAAGCGGGGGACCGCAAGGCCUCGCGCGAUUGGAGCGGCCGAUGUCAGAUUAGGUAGUUGGUGGGGUAAAGGCUCACCAAGCCAACGAUCUGGAGCUGGUCUGAGAGGACAACCAGCCACACUGGGACUGAGACACGGCCCAGACUCCUACGGGAGGCAGCAGUGGGGAAUUUUGGACAAUGGGCGCAAGCCUGAUCCAGCAAUGCCGCGUGCAGGAAGAAGGCCUUCGGGUUGUAAACUGCUUUUGUACGGAACGAAACGGCUCUGGUUAAUACCCGGGGCUAAUGACGGUACCGUAAGAAUAAGCACCGGCUAACUACGUG
rnacentral:rRNA from 1 species